rnacentral:misc_RNA from 1 species
UGUGGGAGCGAGCUUGCUCGCGAUGACGUCGGGUCAGCGAUAUUACGGGCGCCUGACACACCGCAAUCGCGAGCAAGCUCGCUCCCACA